UGUAAAGUAGCUCUGAACCAAAGUUGAGCCACAUUCGGUCACUCAAGAGUAUAUUCAUCAUUUCUCUGAAUGACAACUUUAGAAAUCUUCUUCCUAUCUCUAUCAAGUUCACCGUCCCUAUGUCGAAGAACACAGUGAAAAGUAUAAAGAGAAAAGGCAAUACUUACAUAUGGUGAAACAAAUCCCAACAAUGUUUACCAGUAAUGGAAUGAUCGAGAGGCUGUUGAUCAGAAAACGUAUGGAACUGUAUUUUGGGAAGCUUGAAAUAUUUUCAUCAUUUGACUUGUGGUGCCAUGGUAUAUAAAUUUCCUAUUGAAGAGUUUAAAUAGAGUUGCAGAGGAAUAGCAGGAAAAAUGGCUGAGAUCUCAUCACUUGUCAGAUAAAUCCCAGGGUGCCUCUGCUAUAUAACCAAGAUACUGAUUGAUUUCUUUACUCCUAGAAGUCUGUGACAUUACUGCACCACUUAACGCUCCAAAAUGAAAAGUCUUUGCCUUGAAGGUGAACUGCUGUUUCAG